rnacentral:tRNA from 1 species
CGCUCAGCAGUUUAGUUGGUAAAGCGCUCGUCUAACAUGCAAGAGAAGUGGGAUCGAAUUCCACCUUAGCAC